UGUGACCCAAGCCCCAUUAGACACAACCUUGUCUAGUCUUUCUUUAAUUCUCCCUCUCUUCCAAGUAAAUUUCCCCCCUUGAAAACCAAGGUCUUCAAGCUCGCAAUCCGUCAAGGCAUCACGGAAUGCUUGCAAGAACGAAACUGGACGUUGAUUUCCUCCUUCUUUCUCAUGCACAAAAAGGAUCUCAUUAAAAUCUCCAAGAAUCAGCCACAAAUUAGAGUCAUGUUUGAGUUCCCUCAUUUUAUCCCAUGUUUUAUACUUAUCUUCCCACCGAUGUUCGCCAUAUAUACCAGUAAGGCACCAAAUCCGUCCUUGGCCCUCGUCAACAUGGACAUCUAUAUAAUCUGGAGUUGAAAACACUUGUUGAAUUCAUAUCUCUCUUUUCCAUGUAAUCAGACCUCCACUCUCCCAUUACUCGAAUUUAUAAUUUUAGAAUCCAUCUUUAAUCUCCUUCUUGACAUUCAGGUGGAUAUUCAUCAAGGUGGGUCUCCGACAAAAAAAACCACCUCGGGGUUACUUCCCUUCUGAAGAUCAGAGAUCAUACGAACUGUUGGGGCGUUACCUAGACCCUGAUAGUUGAGGCCUAAUAUCCUCAUUGCGACCGGAUAGGCUCCUCGAAAGAGCCCGCCGAUCCAUGCGAAGGGGAGAUAGCUCCAUCCUUCUUAGAACGUCUGGUUCUAGAAUUGUCCUCCUUUGCAGUACCAGCAGUAGCAGGGCUUUGAACACCAUCCACCACCAUAGCUGCAGCAUGAUCUCCUUAUUUUGACCUAAAAUUUCCUCCUCUUCCUACUGAUUCAUCUCCAGACUCUUCAUCGCAGUUGAGUCUGAGGAGCCAUUAUCAUCCAUCUCCUCAUUAGGCUUCUUAACCGGACUAGAGCUCGUAUCAGCUAGUGGAUCCUCGGCUUGAGCAACACCAUCGACGUAAGCAAGAUCAUUAAACCUCCAGGAUGUCGUACCUCCUCUACCGCGAGCCCCGUUGGCUCCACGUCCUCUUCCCUCUCCAUUGCCGUACAGAUCAGUCCUACCACCAUGGCCACCUCGGCCCCCUCCACAGUUUCCACCCAUUCCACGGCCAUGCCAAGUAGACCACUCAGCUUGCAAAGAUUCGUCCCACUUGAGUUUGUUUUCAUCAUGGUCUCCAGUUCCACAUUCGAGGUGAGAGUGUCCAACAAAUCCACAAGCACCACAAUACCUCGGCAUCUUCUCAUAUUUAACUUAGAUAAAAUUCUCUCUUGCCAUCUCUUGAGAUUGUGACAAACCGCGCUAAAACCUUCCUCACAUUCAGCUUCACUUGGGCACGAACAAAGUUUUUUUUUUUUUUUGCGAAACACACGAACAAAGUUACCAUGCCUUGGACAUUCAUCUGGACUUGUAGCACUUUCCCUACUUUUUACUAGAGCAUCGUGGCAUUGGCUGUUUAUUUAGUGGCUGGAAAGAAAAAAAAAACACGGGCAGACUAGUCGAACCAGCCAGUCCCGUUUUUCCUCGGCCGAACCAGGCGUCGAUCCCAGACGGAGGCAGUGGCGCGAUGCAACAACCGGGAGGCAACGGGGAUAGCGGCCGGUCGGUGGCGCGGCCGCUCGACCUGGUCGAGCUGGGCUGGUAGUCCCCGGACUACUCUGCUUCCGUUCUUCCCAGGAGGGUGCGGCCAGAUGCGACCUGCCAGAGGUGACGGAGACAGCGGCGGCGGCAGUCGGCCGGCGAUGGGGGCCGCUGCACGUUGCUGAUCCGGUCCGGAAGUCCCGGUUAUGCUUCCUUUCUUCCUCAGCGACCCCGUUGACGAGCCACUCGGAGGCGACGGGGACAGCGACUUCGGCCGCCGGCCAUUGGCAGGGACGUAACGAUUGUAUCGAUCGACCCAAUCUCCUUCACGCAGUUAGGUUGGAUGAUGAAGCUUGGAUGGAGAGGUCUACGGUUUCUUUGAUUACUGGUACACAAGAGAGUGUCAUCAUUGCAGAUUGUGUGCAUAGUCAGGUGGCUGCUAACAUGGACGAUGGCCAAUUGCAUUGCAAGUGGAACAGCAUCAUGCAACAGAUUCAUUUUACUAUGUGCAUAGUCAGGUUUCUUUGAAAUUACUAUGCCGAUGUUAACAACAUUUGGUUGUUCCUAUAUACAAAUUACUGGAACAUCCUCUUUGAUCACGUUA